rnacentral:rRNA from 1 species
AACAGGAUUAGAUACCCUGGUAGUCCACGCCGUAAACGAUGUCGACUUGGAGGUUGUUCCCUUGAGGAGUGGCUUCCGGAGCUAACGCGUUAAGUCGACCGCCUGGGGAGUACGGCCGCAAGGUUAAAACUCAAAUGAAUUGACGGGGGCCCGCACAAGCGGUGGAGCAUGUGGUUUAAUUCGAUGCAACGCGAAGAACCUUACCUACUCUUGACAUCCAGAGAACUUAGCAGAGAUGCUUCGGUGCCUUCGGGAACUCUGAGACAGGUGCUGCAUGGCUGUCGUCAGCUCGUGUUGUGAAAUGUUGGGUUAAGUCCCGCAACGAGCGCAACCCUUAUCCUUUGUUGCCAGCGGUUCGGCCGGGAACUCAAAGGAGACUGCCAGUGAUAAACUGGAGGAAGGUGGGGAUGACGUCAAGUCAUCAUGGCCCUUACGAGUAGGGCUACACACGUGCUACAAUGGCGCAUACAAAGAGAAGCGACCUCGCGAGAGCAAGCGGACCUCAUAAAGUGCGUCGUAGUCCGGAUCGGAGUCUGCAACUCGACUCCGUGAAGUCGGAAUCGCUAGUAAUCGUAGAUCAGAAUGCUACGGUGAAUACGUUCCCGGGCCUUGUACACACCGCCCGUCACACCAUGGGAGUGGGUUGCAAAAGAAGUAGGUAGCUUAACCUUCGGGAGGGCGCUUACCACUUUGUGAUUCAUGACUGGGGUGAAGUCGUAACAAGGUAACC